rnacentral:misc_RNA from 1 species
CCAAUAGCGUAUAUUAAAGUUGUUGCAGUUAAAAAGCUCGUAGUUGAACUUCAGGCCUGUCCAGAUGGUCCGCCUUAAUUGGUGUGUACUGUCCUUGGGUGGGUCCUACCUUCUGGCGAAGCGGCAUGGCCUUAGUUGGUUGUGUCGGGGAAGCAGGACUUUUACUGUGAAAAAAUUAGAGUGUUCAAAGCAGGCAUAUAUGCUCGAAUACAUUAGCAUGGAAUAAUGGAAUAGGACGAUGGUUCUAUUUUGUUGGUUCUAGGACCGUUGUAAUGAUUAAUAGGGAUAGUUGGGGGCAUUAGUAUUCAAUUGUCAGAGGUGAAAUUCUUGGAUUUAUUGAAGACUAACGACUGCGAAAGCAUUUGCCAAGGAUGUUUUCAUUAAUCAAGAACGAAAGUUAGGGGAUCGAAGACGAUCAGAUACCGUCGUAGUCUUAACCAUAAACUAUGCCGACUAGGAAUCGGGCGAUGUUGACAAAAUGACUCGCUCGGCACCUCAUG